UUCAACUCGUUCGCCGACCUGCAAGAGCGAUUUUCGGUGUAUCAAUCAUCAACCUACACGAAAUCUAGAGAGAAGAGACUGUAGAACUGUUGAGGCUUCCCGGAAACGACUCAAUCGUCCUCUUUCUGACGUAUAUAAAGUACUACGAGAUCACGUACAGUUGUAUUCACGAAAGCAAAAAAUUCGCUGCCCGUGGAGAAGGAAAGCGUUUUACAUCUGUAAGUGCAGCUUGUGCGUUCGCAAUUGUUUAGGAAUCCAAGGACCUCUACACCUUUCUAUGGUGAUGGAUGGGUCAAAUUGUGGCCCCAGGCUAAAAUACUGUACAUACACUAGUAUCAGAUAAAAGAACAAAUGAAAAAGAAACGGACUUCUAGGAAAGACUGCUCAUUUGAAUUGACCCUAAAAGCUUCUGAAGAUGAUCAAUCACUAGUUGUGCAAAGCUUUAAAGAGAGCCAUAAUCAUCAAAUAUCAAGAGAACUAUUCAAACAACUGCCCAGUCACAGAAAGCUACCACUAGAAGCAAAAGAAGAAGCUGAAAAGCUAUUAGAACUAAUUAGUAAAAGCAAACAAAAAGAUGAUUCAGGACAAGCUGGCGGAAAUGACAGGAAACAUAGUGCUGCUGAAAGACUUAAGCAAUAUUAGUACUGGUAUGAGAGCUGGAAAGACAAGAAACGAUUUGAAUACAGCUGUAAAGCAACUUACAGACAAACAUGGAGCUAGUGUGAAUGUUGUCGUCAGUGCAUGACACUAACGUGUUGCAAGGCAUCUUCUUUCAGGAUGAGGAGAUGAAGUAGGCGAUUGCAGCAUACCCAGAACUGCUAUGUAUUAUUGCGACUUACAAGCUGCUUGAAUUGAGAUUUCCUCUCUAUAUAAUGCUUAUAGAAGAUGGCAAUGGCCAU